rnacentral:rRNA from 1 species
UACCUGAUUGAUCCUGCCAGUAGUCAUAUGCUU